GGAGGGAUGGCCGAGUGGUUUAAGGCGGCGGUCUUGAAAACCGCUUCUCCGAAAGGAGACGUGGGUUCGAAUCCUACUCCCUCCGCCA
rnacentral:tRNA from 1 species